CUACAUGUAGCUGGAGUUACUAGUAAUCGCAGAACAGAAUGCUGCGGUGAAUGCGUUCCCGGGUCUUGUACACACCGCCCGUCACACCGCAGGAGUUGGAUACGCCCGGAGCCGAUUAUCUAACCUUGUGGAAGAAGUCGUCGAAGGUGGAAUCAAUAACUGGGGUGAAGUCGUAACAAGGUCGCCGUAACGGAAGGUGCAGCUGGAUCAACUCCUUUCUAAGGAGA
rnacentral:rRNA from 1 species